AACAGUAGAAUUCUAAAUUAUAAAAUUUUAUAACGAUAAAUUAAAAUGGAUUUUAAGGUAAAAUUUAAUAAUAAAGACUUGAAUUUAUCAUAAUAAAGAUAUUAAUUAAAACAAGGAUUAGAUACCCUUUUAUUUUUAUUCAAUAUAUAAAUUGGAGAGUACGAGCAAUAGCUUAAAAACUAAAGAAUAUGGCGGUGUUUUAUUCAAUCAGGGUGACAUGUAUCUUAAUUUGAUAGUCCACGGUUUUUAAACCUGACUUUGAAAUUCAGCAUGUGUACUGCCGUUUUAUAUAAUUUUAAAAGAUUAUGUAUAAUAUAUGAAUCCUUCAUAUAGUUAGUCAGGUCAAAGUGCAGUCUAUAGUCAGGCGACAUUGUGUUACAUUUAUUUAAACAUUCAACUUAUUGAUUUAUAUUUCAAUGAGAAGAAGAACUUGAUAGUAAUUAAAUUGAUUAAAUUUAAUGAAAGGGAUUUUAACGCGUACAAAUCGCCCGUCACUCCUUUAUAAAGG
rnacentral:rRNA from 1 species